rnacentral:rRNA from 1 species
UACGUAGGGUGCAAGCGUUGUCCGGAAUUAUUGGGCGUAAAGAGCUCGUAGGCGGUUUGUCGCGUCUGCUGUGAAAACUCGGGGCUUAACUCCGGGCCUGCAGUGGGUACGGGCAGACUAGAGUGCGGUAGGGGAGACUGGAAUUCCUGGUGUAGCGGUGAAAUGCGCAGAUAUCAGGAGGAACACCUGCGGCGAAGGCGGGUCUCUGGGCCGUAACUGACGCUGAGGAGCGAAAGCAUGGGGAGCGAACAGG